rnacentral:antisense_RNA from 1 species
GGGCUGCCCGCGCGGUGACCGUCGAGGUGACCCGCACCUGGCUCCAUGGCGGAACCGGCCGGCGUGGAUUAUUCCCCUCUCGGGAGAGAGGUCUGCAGCCGGGCCUCAGUGCUUCAGUUCGUGGCCUGGCAUUUUGUGAAGAGUGUCUUCAUCUCUGCAUCCCUAGUGCAACAGAGCAUGAUAAAAAUUCAAUAAAUAUUUAUUGCAGAGUCUUGAUGUCUUUUGGGAAAGGAACUCUAUGGUUACCUUUACUCUAAGGCAUGGUGAAGACCCUGUUUCUCUAGCUGUGCAGCUGCAAGGUCACUAGACAGAUAAACUCAAGCCAUAAAACAUGUUUUUCCUUGAAAAAUUAGAAGGGUGUUACUGAUUCUUACCUCAGAGAAGAGAAUGUCAUGGAGACAAAAUGACCUGCUUAGAGUUCUGCGCCCCCCAGCAUGGAGAGCAGAGCGCAAAGAUUUCCUCCAGACUCCCACAUUCUCCCUUGGAAUCCAAGAACUUGUCUACUAUCACAACACUUUAGUACCCACUUAGAUGGGGUCUCACUCUGUUGCCCAGGCUGGUCUCAAACUCCUGGCUUCAAGGAAUCCUCCUGCUUCGGCCUCCCAAACUUCUGGGAUUACAGAUAUGAGCCACCAUGGCUGACUGACGGGCACCAAAUUCUAGGAGAGGACUUGAAUAGGCUCCUAAGGAGGCAGCAGAAACCAAGGUAAUCACAAUGGUCAACAGCAGCGAAGGCAGCACUUUCUG